rnacentral:rRNA from 1 species
CCUACGGGAGGCAGCAGUGAGGAAUAUUGGUCAAUGGACGAGAGUCUGAACCAGCCAAGUAGCGUGAAGGAUGACUGCCCUAUGGGUUGUAAACUUCUUUUAUAAAGGAAUAAAACGAGGCACGUGUGCCUUUUUGCAUGUACUUUAUGAAUAAGGAUCGGCUAACUCCGUGCCAGCAGCCGCGGUAAUACGGAGGAUCCGACCGUUAUCCGGAUUUAUUGGGUGUAAAGGGAGCGUAGAUGGGUUGUUAAGUCAGUUGUGAAAGUGUGCGGCUCAACCGUAAAAUUGCAAUUGAUACUGGCAGUCUUGAGUACAGUUGAGGUAGGCGGAAUUCGUGGUGUAGCAGUGAAAUGCUUAGAUAUCAAGAAGAACCCCGAUUGCGAAGGCAGCUUACUAAACUGUGACUGACAUUGAUGCUCGAAAGUGUGGGUAUCAAACAGGAUUAGAUACCCUGGUAGUC